CCUACGGGAGGCUGCAGUGGGGAAUUUUGCGCAAUGCUCGUAAGAGUGACGCAGCGACGCCGCGUGAAUGACGAAGGCCUUCGGGUCGUAAAGCUCCUUCGACAGGGAAGAAAAUGCCUAUAAGUAACUGUGUAUGUAUUGACGGUACCUGUAUAAGCAGCCCCGGCUAACUCCGUGCCAGCAGCCGCGGUAAUACGGAGGGGGCGAGCGUUGUUCGGAGUGACUGGGCGUAAAGAGCACGUAGGCGGUGUUGUAAGUCAUUAGUCAAAGACUAGAGCUCAACUUUAGUAAGGCUGGUGAUACUAUGAUACUUGAGUAUCAGAGAGGAUUGCGGAAUUCGUGGUGUAGCGGUGAAAUGCGUAGAUAUCAGGAGGAAUACCGUUAGCGAAGGCAGUAAUCUGGCUGGCAACUGACGCUGAGGUGCGAAAGCGUGGGUAGCAAACAGGAUUAGAUACCCCUGUAGUC
rnacentral:rRNA from 1 species